AAAGUUCGACGGGUGGCCGCUGCCACGCCCGCUUCGGCGGCGCGCGGGAGAGGAAAGUCCGGGCUCCACAGGGCAACGAUGCCGGCUAACGGCCGGGCGGGGCAACCCGACGGAAAGUGCCACAGAAACAUACCGCCCGGCGCAUGCGCCGGGUAAGGGCGAAAUGGUGCGGUAAGAGCGCACCGGGCGUCUGGAGACAGACGCGCCGGGUAAACCCCAUCGGGAGCAAGGCGAACAGGGCGCGGGUUUAAGCGGCCCGCUUAGCGAACGACGCUGCCGGCAACGGCCACGGCGUUCCUCCGUGCCUGGACAAGCCGCUGGAGGGCGCCGGCAACGGCGCUCCUAGAGAGAUGGCCAUACAAACACAGAACCCGGCUUACAGGCGGGCUUUUCCC
rnacentral:RNase_P_RNA from 1 species